rnacentral:rRNA from 1 species
UCCCGGCAGUCCAAGUCGCAGCCAACAUUAUUGGGUCUAAAACAUCCGUAGCUUGUUUAUUAAGUUCUUUGUGAAAUCCGGCAUCUUAAGUGUCGGGCGAGCAGAGAAUACUGAUAAGCUUGGGAUCGGAAGAUGCAAGGAGUACACUAAAGGUAGUGGUAAAAUACGUUAAUCUUUGGUGGACUAACAAUUGGCGAAGGCACCUUGCAAGUACGAAUCUGACAGUGAGGGAUGAAGGCCAGGGG